CAGUAGCCGCGGUAAUACGAGGGGGGCAAGCGUUGUUCGGAAUUAUUGGGCGUAAAGGGUGCGUAGGCGGUUUGGUAAGUCUUGUGUGAAAUCUUCGGGCUCAACCCGAAGCCUGCACGAGAAACUGCCGGGCUUGAGUAUGGGAGAGGUGAGUGGAAUUUCCGGUGUAGCGGUGAAAUGCGUAGAUAUCGGAAGGAACACCUGUGGCGAAAGCGGCUCACUGGACCAUUACUGACGCUGAUGCACGAAAGCUAGGGGAGCAAACAGGAUUAGAUACCCGCGUAGUCCCUGUCUCUUAUAC
rnacentral:rRNA from 1 species